rnacentral:rRNA from 1 species
GAUGAACGCUGGCGGCGUGCCUAAUACAUGCAAGUCGAGCGAACAGAUGAGGAGCUUGCUCCUCUGACGUUAGCGGCGGACGGGUGAGUAACACGUGGAUAACCUACCUAUAAGACUGGGAUAACUACGGGAAACCGGAGCUAAUACCGGAUAAUAUAUUGAACCGCAUGGUUCAAUAGUGAAAGACGGUUUUGCUGCCACUUAUAGAUGGAUCCGCGCCGCACUAGCUAGUUGGUAAGGUAACGGCUUACCAAGGCAACGAUGCGUAGCCGACCUGAGAGGGUGAUCGGCCACACUGGAACUGAGACACGGUCCAGACUCCUACGGGAGGCAGCAGUAGGGAAUCUUCCGCAAUGGGCGAAAGCCUGACGGAGCAACGCCGCGUGAGUGAUGAAGGUCUUCGGAUCGUAAAACUCUGUUAUUAGGGAAGAACAAAUGUGUAAGUGACUAUGCACGUCUUGACGGUACCUAAUCAGAAGGCCACGGCUAACUACGUG